AGGGUUCGAUCAUGGCUCAGAUUGAACGCUGGUGGUAUGCUUAACACAUGCAAGUCGAACGGUAACAUUGGAGCUUGCUCCAGAUGACGAGUGGCGGACGGGUGAGUAACGCGUAGGAAUCUGCCUAGUAGUGGGGGACAACAUGUGGAAACGCAUGCUAAUACCGCAUACGCCCUACGGGGGAAAGCGGGGGAUCUUCGGACCUCGCGCUAUUAGAUGAGCCUGCGUUAGAUUAGCUUGUUGGUGGGGUAAUGGCCUACCAAGGCGACGAUCUAUAGCUGGUCUGAGAGGACGAUCAGCCACACUGGGACUGAGACACGGCCCAGACUCCUACGGGAGGCAGCAGUGGGGAAUAUUGGACAAUGGGCGCAAGCCUGAUCCAGCAAUACCACGUGUGUGAAGAAGGCCUGAGGGUUGUAAAGCACUUUCAAUUGGGAGGAAAACAGCUGGGUUAAUAGCCCUGCUCUUGACAUUACCUUUAGAAGAAGCACCGGCUAACUCCGUGCCAGCAGCCGCGGUAAUACGGAGGGUGCGAGCGUUAAUCGGAAUUACUGGGCGUAAAGCGUACGUAGGCGGUUAUUUAAGUCAGAUGUGAAAGCCCCGGGCUCAACCUGGGAACUGCAUUUGAAACUGGAUAACUAGAGUUUGAUAGAGGAGAGUAGAAUUUCUGGUGUAGCGGU
rnacentral:rRNA from 1 species